AAUGGUCCAAGUUGGAGGGGUAGGGUUAUAAUGGCCUUGGGUGGUAAGUUUUGGAUGAAUGGUGACAAAAGAUUGGCAUAUAUUGUUGGGUUUGUGUCAAAUAGAGAAUAGAAACCACCAUAUUCAAAAGGAUAAAGAAGAAGAAAGAAAAAACAAAGAGAAAUGACAUGUGAAUAAUACUUUGAGAUUGAAUUACCUCAACAACAAAGACAAGCUACCAUAUAUAGUCAAUCAAAACAACAACAACAAAUAGUAAGAACCAAGAUAACCAAGACUGAACGGUCAUUAAUAGUAGGAGGUUGAACACGGGCCGAAUCUAGCUAAAGACCGAACAACACCGUCAAAGACCUUUUGAUAUUUUGAUCAUUAAAAUACAGUAAUGAAGGGCAUUACCGAAGGCCACAAUCCCUCGGAAAACGUCAUAAGCAGUCGCUAAAUAACCAUUACCGAGGGCCCGGCGACGGUCAAAAAGCCCUCGGUAAAUACAUUGUCGCUACUAUUACCGAGGGCCGAAAGCCCUCGGUAUAAAUGGGUCGUUGUCUAGUUUUUGUUUCACCGUGAUUUUUUCCUCUUGCAGAUGAAAAAUGGAACUAAGCAACCACCCAGGUUCGGUUUUGGGUUGAAAGGACCAUAAGAAAUUCAAAAGACGCAAGCUUUUUUUUGGGGGAAACUAACAAAAGGAGAUUGUGCUACUAGGCUAUCCAAAGACGGGAACAAAACUACACUAAAACACAACCAUUGUAUUAGACGUCGGUUAAUGCAAAAACCGACGUCUAUAGUGACUUUAGACGUCGGUCUUUGUCAUGUUCGACGUCUAUAUGUGCUCUUCGACGUCGGUUAAUGCGUUAUCUGACGUCUAAUUAGUGCCUUUAGACGUCCAUUCAAACCAAUGUCGAAGUUUAUUAACGUCGUUCGUGGGCACUAACUGACGUCAUUAUAAACGUCUGUAGUUAGGAUGUCGGACGUCCCAUUGACGUCACCGGUUUAGACGUCGGUUUAAGAUUAGACGUUAAAAGCCCAAAAUAACCGACUUUAAACAGC
rnacentral:lncRNA from 1 species